CGAACGGGUGAGUAAUGCGUGACCAACCUCGCCCCAUGCUCCAGAAUAGCUCUUGGAAACGGGUGGUAAUGCUGGAUGCUCCAACUUGACGCAUGUCUUGUUGGGAAAGUGUUUAGUGGCAUGGGAUGGGGUCGCGUCCUAUCAGCUUGUAGGCGGGGUAAUGGCCCACCUAGGCUUCGACGGGUAGCCGGCCUGAGAGGGCGGACGGCCACAUUGGGACUGAGAUACGGCCCAGACUCCUACGGGAGGCAGCAGCG
rnacentral:rRNA from 1 species